GUACAGUGGCAGCCACAUUAGCACGAGGCCGGCAGUCAGAUCCCCAGAACCUCCACAAAAGCUGGGGCUCAUUCAAAAGCUGUGUUCUGAGCGACGCUUUUGCCAUCUCGUCUGAAGUCAUAGGGCUCCGUUCUUUCUCCCUGCUGGGGUUUGUCCCCACACCCACCAUGUUCUCAGUUCCUCUCCACUGACCAUGCUUAUGCAUGAGUUUCCAGUCUUCCCAAAGGGAUGUCAGCACCAGGACUCGGGGAAAUUGGUUUCCACUGUGCUCCCCACGCCCCGAGCAGCGCCGAGUGCAGCGGGCACGGGAUAACGUAGGGUGUCUAGAACGGUUAAACUCUCAGACACAGAAAGACAACAGAGCGCAUGGGAUGGCAUCUAACAGCACAGACGUGGAGAUUUCAAGGUGGAAAGACCUGCUCAGGUCGAGGAAGGAUGCAGUCUGUGCCUGUGUGGGCUCGCUUAGCCCUUCUGCACUGUACACUUCAAACGGCUAAAAUGGUGAUUCUGUAACUAAA